AUGAGUCCAUCGUCACCACCACCCCUCGUCCCUCCUCUGCAACAUCAACGCCGAGACGUCCAGCAAGGCGAUAAGGGUGCCCGAGUCAACACCCUCCUGCCCUCCUCUGACGUGUGCAGUGCACACCUCGCCGUGCUGCAAAGUCAUCCACCCAUUGCAUCCAUCAUCCACUGUGUAGCCGGAGUUUGGCGCAGCCCACAUCUCCAGCGGGGGCAGCUCGCGGCCCGCCGGGGUGCAGUUUCGGCAGCUAUUAUUUGCAAGUAUAUUUCCCUGAUCUUGCAUUUUUUGUCUGGACCCAUUUUCAUCUACGUGCAGUUCGCUUCGUCGACGUCCGCUAUUCACUUCUUUUUGGAAAAACAAAAAAGGCUCUUUAAGGGUGGCCAUGCUGCCAUUUGCAGUUCACUGGAGGGAAAGAGAAGGUGCUCUCGUCAGGGGGAGUCGAUGCCGUGA
rnacentral:rRNA from 1 species